UACGAAGGGGCUAGCGUUGUUCGGAAUCACUGGGCGUAAAGCGCACGCAGGCGGAUUGAUAAGUCAGGGGUGAAAUCCCGGGGCUCAACCUCGGAAUUGCCUUUGAUACUGUCUGUCUUGAGUCCGGGAGAGGUGAGUGGAAUUCCUAGUGUAGAGGUGAAAUUCGUAGAUAUUAGGAAGAACACCAGUGGCGAAGGCGGCUCACUGGCCCGGUACUGACGCUCAUGUGCGAAAGCGUGGGGAGCAAACAGG
rnacentral:rRNA from 1 species